GUUAAAUCAUUGAAAAAAAAUUUUGUUAGCGGUUUUUGUGGGCAGUUGGACACGGAAAUACGUCACAACUUAAAAGCUCUAGUCCAAUGCUGCAUUACAAAGUACGUGACAGACAGCACAUAUUCUUCAGUUGCCUAACUGCCUCGUGGAAAAAUUAGACGAAAAUUUAAAAGAAGCUCAGAAGAUUUCAUAUCAAAGGUAGCUCCAACAGGAAACUUGGCCAGCAAUAAAGAUGAACUGGAGUCCACAUCUUCUUGUGUUAAGUUGAUUUUUGUUGCUGACUGGUAGGUAUUUAAGCGUCGAAAGAAGCUAGACAGAAAAAAAGUUUCCCAGUUGGUUUUGCACCAGCAUCAACCAUCCAGCUCCACAACAGUGAAAGACCCUGGUAUCUUAGGAAUGCCUUAAGACAAUUCUGAUCUGUUGUAUUCUGAAAAACAAAGCAAAUUUUCUUGGCUCAUACAGAAAAUGCAUCAAAGUCUUCUACCAAACUCCUGCCAGGUUUUCUCUUCCUUCUUGGAGAGCUAGUCGAUGGAGUAACUAUAUAGGAAUAAUUCAACAUAAUAACAGAAAAAAUCAUGUAAUAGGAAUAACUGG